AUGGCCGAGCUAGAGACGGUUAAUGCCAGAAAGGAGAAGGUGCAGCCACCAUCAAUCCGAGACACGAGAAGGAGCUGGAUUCCUCCCUCUUUGAAUCAUGCAAAGAUCAAUGUUGAUGGUGCUUUCUCACAGAAUGGCAGCGUUGGAGCGGCAGCAGCUUUCUGCAGGAACGAACAUGGAGAUUACUUAGGGGCAUCGGUCUUGGUGGCGCCUAAUAUGACUGAUCCGACUGCUCUGGAAGCACUGGCUUGCCGAGAAUGUCUGUCCCUAGUCGCAGAUCUUAAUCUCUCAAAUAUCCAUUUGGCCACUGACUGCCAGGGACUGGUGGAAGAAAUCAAGAAUGGAUCCAGUGCAUUCCAUGGGGCGAUCAUUCAGGAAAUUCAGUCUAGGAUGAUACCUUUUACAAGUUGCUUUUUCUCCUUCGAAAGUAGAACUUGUAAUUUUGAGGCACAUAGCCUCGCAAAGCACGCCUCUUCUCUAGGAGCUGGUAGACAUAUUUGGCUCGAUCUUCCCUAUGAUCCAGUCAACAUUCCUGUAAACAUUUUGCAACAGAGUUAA
rnacentral:rRNA from 1 species